rnacentral:rRNA from 1 species
AGUGAACGCUGGCGGUAGGCCUAACACAUGCAAGUCGAACGGCAGCACAGUAAGAGCUUGCUCUUACGGGUGGCGAGUGGCGGACGGGUGAGGAAUACAUCGGAAUCUACUUUUUCGUGGGGGAUAACGUAGGGAAACUUACGCUAAUACCGCAUACGACCAACGGGUGAAAGCAGGGGAUCUUCGGACCUUGCGCGAUUGAAUGAGCCGAUGUCGGAUUAGCUAGUUGGCGGGGUAAAGGCCCACCAAGGCGACGAUCCGUAGCUGGUCUGAGAGGAUGAUCAGCCACACUGGAACUGAGACACGGUCCAGACUCCUACGGGAGGCAGCAGUGGGGAAUAUUGGACAAUGGGCGCAAGCCUGAUCCAGCCAUGCCGCGUGAGUGAAGAAGGCCUUCGGGUUGUAAAGCCCUUUUGUUGGGAAAGAAAAGCAGCAGGUUAAUACCCCGCUGUUCUGACGGUACCCAAAGAAUAAGCACCGGCUAACUUCGUG